CGUGGCUAACCUGCCCUUGGGACGGAAGCACCCCCGGGAAACUGGGGCUAAUUUCCGAUAGGGGAAGACUCCUGGAAUGGAUUUUCGCCUAAAAGGCGCUUAGAGCAUGCUUCUAGGCGUUGCCCAAGGAUGGGGCCGCGGCCGAUCAGGUUGUUGGUGAGGUAACGGCUCACCAAGCCUUUAACCGGUGCGGGCCGUGGGAGCGGGAGCCCGGAGAUGGGCACUGAGACAAGGGCCCAGGCCCUACGGGGCGCAGCAGUCGCGAAAACUUCGCAAUAAGCGAAAGCUUGACGGGGCUAUCCCGAGUGCCAUCCGCUGAGGAUGGCUUUUCCCUAGUAUAGAUAGCUGGGGGAAAAAGGAGAGGGCAAGUCUGGUGUCAGCCGCCGCGGUAAUACCAGCUCUCCGAGUGGUGGGGAUGAUUAUUGGGCCUAAAGCAUCCGUAGCCGGCUGGGCAAGUCCCCUGUUAAACCCAGCGAUCUAAUCGUUGGCCUGCGGGGGAUACUGCUUGGCUAGGGGGCGAGAGAGGCCGUCGGUAUUCCCGGGGUAGGGGUGAAAUCCUAUAAUCCCGGGAGGACCACCAGUGGCGAAGGCUGUUGGCUAAAACAUGCCCGACGGUGAGGGAUGAAAGCUGGGGGAGCGAACCGGAUUAGAUACCCGGGUAGUCCCAGCUGU
rnacentral:rRNA from 1 species